GGACUAAGGGUGCAGGCUAGAAGCUGAAAUUGCUGCUCUCAGGCAUGAACUUACACAAGAAGUUGUUGCUUGGUAUAAACUAACCAUCCUAAUGUCACAAAAGGCUCUGAGUGAGAAAGGCUAUGAACUUGUUUCCGGUGGGACUGAAAAUCAUCUAGUUUUGGUGAAUAUGAAGAAAAAGGUAACCCGAUAACUACUUUGACUUUGCUUGAGAAGAUGAAGUCGGUGUACACGAAUGUAGAAGGUCUUCCUCCGAAUUGAAUUGUGGAAAGCAAUUGCUUCUCUAGGGCGUGGUAUUUUGGCCAUGGAUGAAUCCAAUGGUACAUGUGGAAAGCGGUUGGAUUCAAUUGGACUAGAGAACAACCGAAGCUAACCGUCAAGCAUGGCGUAAAAUUAUAUAUGAAGAAAGUGUUAUGACUUGGUUAAAAUAUAAUUUUUAUGUGUAUGAUUUUAUAGUACUUGAAAUAUUAUGAAUGCACAUGAUUUUGUAUACUUUUGGUUAAUAUUAAAAAUAUUUUGACUUAGUUAAAAUA